GCGAAUUAGCGGGAGCGCGCGCGGUGGCUCUUCUGAGGCCCGUUCCGCGUUGUGGAGCGCGCCGCAGGCCGGCCGCGCGCCCGGCCAUUUCCCGGCGCGCGCCCGCAGGCGCACUGCGAAGCGUCUCUUACGAGUCUGGCGGCCGACUUGGCCCUACGUGGCGCGGGUGUGGCGCCAGAAUUCAAACAGCUGCAGUUGGAAACGACGCUUUCGCCUGCCACGAGCCAAGUCCGUCCAGGACAGAUUGGGUCCGAGAGUGGACACAAGUUUUGCAGCGCAGGGCGGCCUCAGCUUAGGACCGAUUCGAGAAGCUGGGCUGGCUGGCUGGCUGGCGCUGGGCUGUAGUGGGCCCCCAGCGGAGGCCGCCGGAGGAGCGGGCGAGCCCUGGCCGCAGCACUCCGGGAAAGGGCAGUUGGCUGGCAGAAACGCUUGGGUGAAAAAGCGGAAAGCGCCACGUGAGAACAGCCCCGGCGUGCGGCCCUGCAGGGCCUCAGGGCGGGCAUCAAGGCCCCAUGGGGAUCCAUUCCUCCUCACGCUUCCUCGUGCCAGGCAUCCGGUUACACUAAACGUGACCAUACAAGUCUCCCUCAAACAGCGAACGUGAGGUUCAAUACUCCAUUUCGCAGAGGAGAAAACUGAGGCUUAAAACAGCCAGUUGUACUAAAUGAUGUGUGUUAGUCAUGUGACACCAACUGACAGAUUCAGACUAUGCAGGUCUGUGGGGCAUUAUAUUGUGAUUCUUGUUUGAAGGCAGAAAAAAUGAAGAGGGCACAGAUCAACCUUUUAUAAUGAAUAUUACGUUCUGAAGUUCUCCAUCUGCUCUCAGGCCACAGCUGUGUGUUUGGGAAGAUGCAGAAUAAGACAGUCAGAAGUGCACCACCUCACAUACCUACACCUACUUCUCUCAGUUCACAGUGAUUCCAGUUUGCUUGAUCAAACACAUGAAUAAGAAACCUGGUUAGCAUGUUCAACUUGACACCACCUUAAUAAAUACCUAGUUCUAUUUCAAAAUUUGGUCACAUUUUUCUUCAUGAACUUGGAUCGUCUUUUACCUCAAUUGGUG
rnacentral:lncRNA from 10 species